CAGCCGCCGCGGUAAUACAGAGGGUGCGAGCGUUAAUCGGAUUUACUGGGCGUAAAGCGUGCGCAGGCGGUUAUAUAAGACAGAUGUGAAAUCCCCGGGCUCAACCUGGGAACUGCAUUUGUGACUGUAUAGCUAGAGUACGGCAGAGGGGGAUGGAAUUCCGCGUGUAGCAGUGAAAUGCGUAGAUAUGCGGAGGAACACCGAUGGCGAAGGCAAUCCCCUGGGCCUGUACUGACGCUCAUGCACGAAAGCGUGGGGAGCAAACAGGAUUAGAUACCCGCGUAGUCCUGUCUCUUAUACA
rnacentral:rRNA from 1 species